rnacentral:rRNA from 1 species
UACGGAGGAUCCGAGCGUUAUCCGGAUUUAUUGGGUUUAAAGGGUGCGUAGGCGGGAUGUUAAGUCAGUGGUGAAAGUUUGCGGCUCAACCGUAAAAUUGCCAUUGAUACUGAUAUUCUUGAGUACAUUUGAGGUAGGCGGAAUGUGGUGUGUAGCGGUGAAAUGCAUAGAUAUACCACAGAACACCGAUUGCGAAGGCAGCUUACUAAACUGUAACUGACGCUGAGGCACGAAAGCGUGGGUAUCAAACAGG